rnacentral:rRNA from 1 species
UAAUCCUAGGGGGGCAGCAGUGAGGAAUAUUGGUCAAUGGCCGCAGGGCUGAACCAGCCAAGUCGCGUGAGGGAUGACGGUCCUAUGGAUUGUAAACCUCUUUUGUCGGGGAGCAAAGAGAGUCACGUGUGACUCAUUGAGAGUACCCGAAGAAAAAGCAUCGGCUAACUCCGUGCCAGCAGCCGCGGUAAUACGGAGGAUGCGAGCGUUAUCCGGAUUUAUUGGGUUUAAAGGGUGCGCAGGCGGAGGUGCAAGUCAGCGGUCAAAUUGCGGGGCUCAACCCCGUACUGCCGUUGAAACUGCAU